rnacentral:lncRNA from 1 species
UGAACAAGGAGAGGGAAGAGAUGCGAGGAAUUCAAUCGUGGAACACAAUGAUCUGUAUUGUAUGUACGUCCGCGCAUAUAUAAUUAUAGUAUGUGUGUGUGAGAUCUAGGGCACAUCGAACUACAAUUUGACCAAUCACGGAGAGAGAGAGACGAGAUGGGUUGACGCCACACUAUAAUAUAGUAAUUUGGUUUAAUAGAGACAAUUGAUGCAUAGGUGAUGGGUGAGGAUUCCAAACUCUUGUGUGUGUUCUUUCCAGUGUUGGCUUCUGCAUUGAGAGAGGAGAGAGAAGUAAACGUUUCAUCCAAGCAUAACAAACAUUUGAGCCGGCGACGAGAGUGGGAGGCACGCGCAGGGAGAGCGCAUGGCCCAAUUUUGAAAUGCUACAAGUUGGCAUGUGGGGUUCUGAGUUGUGCUGUGACUUCGCUUACUUGUCCAUAUAUUUAUUCCUCUGCCGGGAAGCUUCGGAUCAAUCCCAAAUUCGUGGACCAAAAAUUAACAUCAUUGCAAAAUUAAUUACUUAUUCCAUGUCUAAGAAAACGACCGGGAAUUUGAAAAGUCUACUUGCUCCAUUUCCUGGUAUACUCAUGAUUAGUUACUAAAAUUAAUUGUGUGACUUCCUUUAGCCCAUUCAUAAAAAUUAGCUUCUUUAUUUUUUGAAGAAAACUUAUUAGCUAAUUUUCCUAAUAUAUUGUUUUGUGAACCUACUACUUCAUUUACAUGUUAAUCAUAUGCCACUAUUGUAAUCCAUCCGUUUAUUAAACUAGUACUCAUAUUUUCUUUUGAUCCGUGAUCAAAUAAGUAUUCAUUUUUCUUUUCUUUUCUGAUAAGUGUAUUCCACAUAAUUCAUUCACACUAAAAAUGAGAUUUUCAUUCCACUUAAACACUUAAUUAUAUAUUUUUAAUUUAUGUUAUUUUUAAAUGGAUAUUUAUUUGGUGAAGGGGGAGUAUCCUAAGAAUGGUCAAAAUUUGAUUGCUUGGGCUGUGAAAUUGUAGGCCCAUAAAUAUUUAAAACUGGCACAAACACAGUCCAAUCUCCCGCAUAUGGGAUCGACUACUUUUAUAACAUCGGUCAAUGUGUUUGAAAAGGUCCAGUUUUAGAUUUAGGUGUGUGGGGGGUUUAACCAUGUGUCUGAAUUUGUCAAAUAAAUUGACGGGCUCGAAUUGGGUCAAUCUAUGUGAUAACUUUGUGCUCGUUCCAUUGGUACGAUACAAUAUAACAAGAUAGAACGUACCCUGUUUCAUAAAAAUAUGUAUAUUUUUAUUUCUUUCGUCCUAUAAAAAUAUACAUAGCUUAUUUAUAAUAGUAAUUCUUCCAGUAAACAUCACAAUCAAUGUGANCGAGAUGGGUUGACGCCACACUAUAAUAUAGUAAUUUGGUUUAAUAGAGACAAUUGAUGCAUAGGUGAUGGGUGAGGAUUCCAAACUCUUGUGUGUGUUCUUUCCAGUGUUGGCUUCUGCAUUGAGAGAGGAGAGAGAAGUAAACGUUUCAUCCAAGCAUAACAAACAUUUGAGCCGGCGACGAGAGUGGGAGGCACGCGCAGGGAGAGCGCAUGGCCCAAUUUUGAAAUGCUACAAGUUGGCAUGUGGGGUUCUGAGUUGUGCUGUGACUUCGCUUACUUGUCCAUAUAUUUAUUCCUCUGCCGGGAAGCUUCGGAUCAAUCCCAAA